GACGGAGGGGGGCUAGCGUUGUUCGGAAUUACUGGGGCGUAAAAGCGCGCGUAGGCGGCGCAUUAAGUCAGAGGUGAAAGCCCGGGGCUCAACCCCGGAAUUGCCUUUGAGACUGGUGUGCUUGAGUACGGAAGAGGUGAGUGGAAUUCCCAGUGUAGAGGUGAAAUUCGUAGAUAUUGGGAAGAACACCAGUGGCGAAAGGCGGCUCACUGGUCCGUAACUGACGCUGAGGUGCGAAAGCGUGGGGGAGCAAAACAGGAUUAGAUACCCCGG
rnacentral:rRNA from 1 species